rnacentral:rRNA from 1 species
AGCGAACGUUUGCGGCGGGCCUAACACAUGCAAGUCGAACGCACUAGCAAUAGUGAGUGGCGCACGGGUGCGUAACACGUGGGUAAUCAACCCUUCAGCCUGGGAUAACGACUCGAAAGGGUCGCUAAUACCGGAUACGGCGCGAGAGGCUUCGGCUUCUCACGAGAAAGCCACGCAAGGGGCACUGAAGGACGAGCCUGCGGCCCAUCAGCUAGUUGGUGAGGUAAGAGCUCACCAAGGCUAAGACGGGUAGCUGGUCUGAGAGGAUGAUCAGCCACACUGGAACUGAGACACGGUCCAGACUCCUACGGGAGGCAGCAGUGGGGAAUAUUGCGCAAUGGGCGAAAGCCUGACGCAGCCACGCCGCGUGAGCGAUGAAGGCCUGGUCGUAAGACGUCUGUGGGAGGAGACGAAGAAAGACCUGUGAAGAGCAGGCCUUGACGGUAUCUCCUUAG